CAUGCCCCAGAGCGGCUUAUAUUUGCUGAGGGUUAGAUCUGUGUGCCUUCUAUCUACCUCUGGUCAUAGGUCAUAGCUUCGCUUACUAAUCGCAAAAUGUGUUUGUCACUGUUGUCCAUUCGGAUUGAGCUUUGGGAAGCGGCACAGCGGCAGCAUCCACUUUGCCAGUCCACUAUCAGCACCGGGAUGGAGCGGUUUGGCCCGCAGCUCACCCUGUUCGUGGCAGCGCUUGCCUGCGUGUUGGCACUCGACACUCCAACUAACCAGCCCAGCAUCUACCGGAAGUAUCUGCGCACGCGCAAACCCUCCCAGCCGGCCGAGCUGCACGUGGAGGAGGUGCUGGAGGUGUUCCGUACCGAGGCGCAACCUUCACGGUACGGCGUGGGCAACGCGCUGGUGAAUCGCUUCCUUGCCCGGCAGCUGCAGCUCCAGCUACAGGCCAGUACGUCAACGACGACGACGAGGAGGACCACUACGACAACGACGACGACGACAAAGCGUCCCGAGCCUACCACCUUCCGGACACCGGUGUACGAGAACCAGAACCCGAACUACAACUACCUGUUUCGGCCAUCGAUCACGGCGACCAAAUAUGGCGGGAAGCCGGCAGCGGGGACCAUCGUCAUCAAGGAGGCGGAUUUACUGUCAACGGCGGUGAACAAUACGUCGUCCAACACCUCUAAGUGUCCCAAACAUCAUAAAGAGGACAUAUGGGGGUACUGCCGAAAGGUGGUACAGUUCUGAUCGGUGCUGGCGCUGGUACGACCACGAGUGUCUUUGUUUAGUUUAGUGUGUGUAUAUAUGUUGGAUUCUGCGAUGUUUGCGUCCUCGACAAAACAAAGACAAAAAAGACAAAACAAACAGCAUCGUUGGACCAGUUCUUCCAAGACGCACGACGCAAGCUGGAGCUUAAAAAGCAGACCUACUUUAAACCCUAUUCGUCUAUAAGCCUCACGUUACUCCUAUCAACUGUUAUCAAUUUACGGCCCCGCAUGUCCAGUGCUUCUAAAUAAAAGCUACCAUCGUUCUAACUACUCUACGGCGUAUCUCGCUCACCUUGGAUCCAGCUCCAGGCCGUUUUGGGGCAUGUUUCCUAUCAUCAUCAUCGAUAAACGUUCCUCACACUCAAUCGUACUCUAUGGAACAAAUUUAAUUUAACUUAAGAACAAUUUCGGAUAAUUCUACCGAAGCAAACGUUGGCAGAAGGUCGUCGUCUCUUUCUUCAUCCCAUUGGGAAAGGGACAACGGUCUGGGAAAAGGAUAAAUUGAAAGAACGUCAGACCUUUUCUUGCGAUCGCAUCAACAGAUAAGAUAUUUUAGCCGCUGCGAAUAAAAUUCACGUGUGCAAGAAA